rnacentral:rRNA from 1 species
UACGGGGGGGGCAAGCGUUGUUCGGAAUUACUGGGCGUAAAGGGCUCGUAGGUGGCCAACUAAGUCAGACGUGAAAUCCCUCGGCUUAACCGGGGAACUGCGUCUGAUACUGGAUGGCUUGAGUUUGGGAGAGGGAUGCGGAAUUCCAGGUGUAGCGGUGAAAUGCGUAGAUAUCUGGAGGAACACCAAUGGCGAAGGCAGCUCGCUGGGACGGUACUGACGCUGAGGCGCGAAAGCGUGGGGAGCAAACAGG